AAAAAUUAUUUGCGGGUUGGUUGGAGAUGUCCUAAACCCCAAACCCCAGCACUAAACUGAGUCUCGUCGAAGCAAAACGGAAUCUCCAAUCCUUAAACCCUAGCGCAACCUCUUGCACAUCUCCAUGGCGAAGGCUCUUACAAAGUCUGCGCGCCGGGUUCUUCCGUAUCUGACGCAUUCCUGCCGAUGGAUUGAGCCGAACUUGGAGCAUUCACCUUGCCUGAUGAAAUCGGACGUCAGCUCACCAAACAUCAACUACGUCAGGUUAUUUAGUGUACAAAAGAACCCUCCUGCUCGAGCCCAACAAAUGGGGGCACUGAAAGUAGCAAGGACGAGCCCUGGGUUUGUGUAUGAGCCAUAUAUUCCCCGCGAAAAAAUCCCUUUCUGGCGUAGAUGGUUUACUAGAUCUGGUUGGAAAAGAACAAAAGAAGAUAUCUUUCUAGAGCUAAAGAGUGCUUAUGCUAUUGCAAAAUUGAGAAAAUCUGGGUACUCGAAACAAAAGUUCUAUCAAGAAGCUGCUAAUCUAUACAAAGAGAUAAACACCCUAAUGGCAAAUGGAGACAUAAGAUUGUUGAGGAAACACACAACAGAGUUGAUGUGUUCUGCUUUGAAGAAUGAAAUCAAGAAUCGAGAGAAAGUCUGGAGUCAUGUUUACUGGGAACUAAUUAUGCCGCUUGUUAAAAUACGCACUCUGCGGGCACGACUGAUUGGUGUAGAUAAAAAGGACCUCAAUAAAGUGUUUGUUCAACUUACUAUGGAGUUUGUUAGCAAUCAGAAGUUCGAAGCAUAUGACUCAAAUGGAGCUGUUGUUUCCGGUGACAAAAACAAGGAGGUGCUCGUUCGCGAUAUAUGGGUUUUUGAGAAAUCUCUAUUCCACCAAGAUGCAUAUUGGCGUCUGUGUGGAAGAAUCAAAGUGGAACAAGUGUUGGAGGGUGGAAUGGAAGGGGGAAGUUUUGCCGCGAAAUUCAUUUAGUUUCUUCAUAAUGUGGCGAUCGAUCUAAGCGCCACUCGGACACAUUUGUAGGACAAUCCAAUCACCCGACUACGCUUUGGGUUCGAUUUGUGUCCAGUUCUGGUUUGAACCGUAACAGUCGGUUCGAAGACCGGAAAACCGGCGGUUCCAAACCGAAUGGGCAAGUCUAACUGGGGAUCGGAACAAGUCGAAUUACAAUU